UGCCACGGAGAAAGAGCAAAUCUACGAGAAUCUGUACCGGCUCUUCUUCUCCGUGCUGACAAACUGGCAGGACUGCAAGGAGGAAAAGGAUAAACAGGCUGUCUUCGGGGCUGUGACUGCCAUGAUGGCUGUCCUCCUGCAAGAGGAGCUGCACCGAGAGCACGUCUGGGAGCAGCUCCUCUGGCUCGUGCGCCCAUAUCAGGAGGACCAAGACAUCUGCAGAGUGACCAAGAGCCUCACUAUCUUCCUGGAGGCCUUAGAGGGAGUUCAGACUGUCAUCCCCAAGGACAAAUUUCUGGCCAUUACCAGUGCCAUGUUC